CCCCGCUGGAGGGUUCUCUGGGGGCCCUCUGGAAGGUUCUCUGGGGGCCCUCUGGAAGGUUCUCUGGGGGCCCCUCUGUAGAGUUCUCUGGGGGCCCUCUGUAGAGUUCUCUGUAGGGUUCUUUGGGGGCCCUCUGUAGGGGUCUCUGUAGGGUUCUCUGGGGCCCCUCUGUAGGGGUCUCUGUAGGGUUCUCUGGGGCCCCUCUGUAGGGGUCUCUGUAGGGUUCUCUGGGGGCCCCUCUAUGAGGCUCUCUGUGGGGCCCCUCUGUGGGGGCCCUUCCGUCCCCUCGCACGUUUAGCUUCCUUAGAGAUGACGCUGAUAUUAGGCCACUUUAGAAUCAUAACAACAAAAAAGAAAAUGAACGACAAGAGUAUAAUACUAAUGAGGUGUCAUACUAGUUUCUAUGAAAUGAUGUGUGAUGUGCAUCAUUGCACCUAACACUCCGCAGAUCGGUAGUUCUUCCCACUCGGACUCCACCAGAACAUGUAGAAAUGAAGUGUGUGUGUGUGUGUGUGUGUGUGUGUGUGUGUGUGGGGGGUUUUGCAUUGGUAAUCCAUCUGCAGAAGAUCUACAAGUGUUGUGUAGAUAGACGUGUGCGUCUUUUUGUUCUGCGACACUACUGCUUUCAAUAGCGGCGUUUAGGGAAGCGAUCUUUUUCUCAGCAAUGGCGGUUACGAAAUGUUCCGGGUGCAAUAAGAUCCAUUCUUCUGUGCAUGUCCUCUUUAAGACGUGCCACGUUAAUGCUUUUAAUGAACUGGGAUUGAUUUGGGUGUCCCUCGCCCUUCCCUUUAUUUAUUUGUCAUGGCAGGGAGAUAUCGUUUUACUUCUUUGACUUCUCUGUCUGAGCUUUUAAACGAUUGGCUGAGGAGUCAGAAACAUGGGUUCAUGGUCCUGUAGUUUUAUUCAAUUUAUUCUUUUCUUUUUUUGUCUCAUUUUUAACUGUGUGUGUGUGUGUGUGUGUGUGUGUGUGUGUGUGUGUGUGUGUGUGUGUGUGUGUGUGUGUGUGUGUGUGUGUGUGUGUGUGUGUGUGUGUGUGUGUGUGUGUGUGAGAUAAUUAUAUAUAUAUAUAAAUCAAAACAAUAACCAUCAAUGCAUUUUCCAGCUUUGUACACAACAGCACUUUGACGAGGCCGUCUGUCGGUGUGUAGGUGAGAGGCCUUCAGGCUCUGUUGGGGGAUGGCAGGGGGAUUUGAUUCAUUUGUUUUAGGACUCUUCUUUUACCUAUCUAUUAUUCAAAGACCUCACACCACUGAUGUGUGCCGUCAGGGCACCGAUAUUGAUUGAUCGAGUCAUCUCAUUGUAUGCACUAACAUUGAUCAGGUAUUGGGAAGUAAAAAAAAAUCUAACCAUGUAGGUUUGGUGUUGUUUAACAAGGAGCUAUGUAAUACAAACUAUUUUAUUUAAAUAUAAGUUAUUGAAGAAACAGUGUUUUAUUACCAUUCAUGAGCUUGUUUCAUUAAGAUAGAAUAAUAAUAAAAAGUCAAAAUGUUCUGACGGUUUGAUCCCUGCUUAUAUUCCUUUUUAAUUCCCUUAGUGUUGCUAUUGUCUACCAUCAUGUAUGAUGUGAGUAUCAUGCAUUAAAGAAUAUAUAUGAUAUAAAAA
ensembl:lncRNA